UAAAAGUAUUCAACAUUUAUUUCUUCUUGACAUUCUAGGUUUCUUGCACUGACCUCUUGGAGAGUGUAUCAUCUAACUUCUCUCAUAAUACUUGGAGUGCUAAUUCUUCAGAUCAUGAAGGAUUUGGUGUUCUCAAGGAUAAAAGGUGCAAAGCUUUGGAGGACCAUCACUGGCAACUAUUUAACAAGAUCCCAUGGCCAAAAAGUCCCAGAGCAGUUGAGAUUUUCACCCCUAGUG
rnacentral:lncRNA from 1 species